ACACGACUCUCGGCAACGGAUAUCUAGGCUCUCGCAUCGAUGAAGAACGUAGCAGACUGCGAUACUUGGUGUGAAUUGCAGAAUCCCGUGAACCAUCGAGUCUUUGAACGCAAGUUGCGCCCGAAGCCAUUAGGCCGAGGGCACGUCUGCCUGGGCGUCACGC
rnacentral:rRNA from 1 species